AAAGCGUGGGGAGCAAACAGGAUUAGAUACCCGUGGUAGUCCACGCCGUAAACGAUGAGUGAUAAGUGUUAGAGGGGUUUCCGCCCUUUAGUGCUGCAGAUAACGCAUUAAGCACUCCGCCUGGGGAGUACGGUCGCAAGACUGAAACUCAAAGGAAUUGACGGGGGCCCGCACAAGCGGUGGAGCAUGUGGUUUAAUUAGAAGCAACGCGAAGAACCUUACCAGGUCUUGACAUCUUUUGACAACUCUAGAAAUAGAGCGUUCCCCUUCGGGGGACAGAGUGACAGGUGGUGCAUGGUUGUCGUCAGCUCGUGUCGUGAGAUGUUGGGUUAAGUCCCGCAACGAGCGCAACCCUUGAUCUUAGUUGCCAGCAUUUAGUUGGGCACUGUAAGGUGACUGCCGGUGACAAACCGGAGGAAGGUGGGGAUGACGUCAAAUCAUCAUGCCCCUUAUGACCUGGGCUACACACGUGCUACAAUGGAUGGUACAAAGGGCUGCAAGACCGGGAGGUCAAGCCAAUCCCAUAAAACCAUUCUCAGUUCGGAUUGUAGGCUACAACUCGCCUACAUGAAGCUGGAAUCGCUAGUAAUCGCGGAUCAGCAUGCCGCG
rnacentral:rRNA from 2 species